rnacentral:rRNA from 1 species
UACGUAGGGAGCGAGCGUUGUCCGGAUUUAUUGGGCGUAAAGAGCUCGUAGGCGGUUUGGCAAGUCGGAUGUGAAAGCUCCGGGCUCAACUCGGAGAUGCCAUUCGAUAACUGCCAUGACUAGAGUCCGGUAGGGGGGUGUGGAAUUCCCAGUGUAGCGGUGAAAUGCGCAGAUAUUGGGAGGAACACCAAUGGCGAAGGCAGCACCCUGGGCCGGUACUGACGCUGAGGAGCGAAAGGCGUGGGGAGCAAACAGG